rnacentral:rRNA from 1 species
CUAAGGUCCCAAAGUCAUGGUUAAGUGGGAAACGAUGUGGGAAGGCACAGACAGCCAGGAUGUUGGCUUAGAAGCAGCCAUCAUUUAAAGAAAGCGUAAUAGCUCACUGGUCGAGUCGGCCUGCGCGGAAGAUGUAACGGGGCUAAACCAUGCACCGAAGCUGCGGCAGCGACACUAUGUGUUGUUGGGUAGGGGAGCGUUCUGUAAGCCUGCGAAGGUGACCUGUGAGGGUUGCUGGAGGUAUCAGAAGUGCGAAUGCUGACAUAAGUAACGAUAAAGCGGGUGAAAAGCCCGCUCGCCGGAAGACCAAGGGUUCCUGUCCAACGUUAAUCGGGGCAGGGUGAGUCGACCCCUAAGGCGAGGCCGAAAGGCGUAGUCGAUGGGAAACAGGUUAAUAUUCCUGUACUUGGUGUUACUGCGAAGGGGGGACGGAGAAGGCUAUGUUAGCCGGGCGACGGUUGUCCCGGUUUAAGCAUGUAGGCUGGUUGUCCAGGCAAAUCCGGAUAAUCAAGGCUGAGGUGUGAUGACGAGGCACUACGGUGCUGAAGUAACAAAUGCCCUGCUUCCAGGAAAAGCCUCUAAGCAUCAGGUAACAUCAAAUCGUACCCCAAACCGACACAGGUGGUCAGGUAGAGAAUACCAAGGCGCUUGAGAGAACUCGGGUGAAGGAACUAGGCAAAAUGGUGCCGUAACUUCGGGAGAAGGCACGCUGGUGUGUAGGUGAAGUCCCUGCGGAUGGAGCUGAGACCAGUCGAAGAUACCAGCUGGCUGCAACUGUUUAUUCAAAACACAGCACUGUGCAAACACGAAAGUGGACGUAUACGGUGUGACGCCUGCCCGGUGCCGGAAGGUUAAUUGAUGGGGUUAUCCGUAAGGAGAAGCUCUUGAUCGAAGCCCCGGUAAACGGCGGCCGUAACUAUAACGGUCCUAAGGUAGCGAAAUUCCUUGUCGGGUAAGUUCCGACCUGCACGAAUGGCGUAAUGAUGGCCAGGCUGUCUCCACCCGAGACUCAGUGAAAUUGAACUCGCUGUGAAGAUGCAGUGUACCCGCGGCAAGACGGAAAGACCCCGUGAACCUUUACUAUAGCUUGACACUGAACAUUGAGCCUUGAUGUGUAGGAUAGGUGGGAGGCUUUGAAGCGUGGACGCCAGUCUGCGUGGAGCCAACCUUGAAAUACCACCCUUUAAUGUUUGAUGUUCUAACGUUGGCCCCUUACCGGGGUUGCGGACAGUGUCUGGUGGGUAGUUUGACUGGGGCGGUCUCCUCCCAAAGCGUAACGGAGGAGCACGAAGGUUAGCUAAUCCUGGUCGGACAUCAGGAGGUUAGUGCAAUGGCAUAAGCUAGCUUGACUGCGAGCGUGACGGCGCGAGCAGGUGCGAAAGCAGGUCAUAGUGAUCCGGUGGUUCUGAAUGGAAGGGCCAUCGCUCAACGGAUAAAAGGUACUCCGGGGAUAACAGGCUGAUACCGCCCAAGAGUUCAUAUCGACGGCGGUGUUUGGCACCUCGAUGUCGGCUCAUCACAUCCUGGGGCUGAAGUAGGUCCCAAGGGUAUGGCUGUUCGCCAUUUAAAGUGGUACGCGAGCUGGGUUUAGAACGUCGUGAGACAGUUCGGUCCCUAUCUGCCGUGGGCGCUGGAGAAUUGAGGGGGGCUGCUCCUAGUACGAGAG